UAAAAGAUUAAAAAUUUAAUAUUAUUUGUUAUUUACCUUUUGUGUCAUGAUUAAAUUAUUAAAAUUUAUUAAAAAAUUACUCGAAAAAUUUUGAUUUUAUUUAUUUAUUAGUUUUGGGUAAAAAUUUUUAAAUUUAAAUAAGGGGUGAUAAAUUAGUCGAAAAAUUUUAUAACUGGUUAAAGAAUUUUAAGUAUAAUUAAUAAUUUAGCUUAGAGGUUAAGUUAUAAUUUUUAAAAGAUUUUUUUUAAAGUAAUGGGGUUGAAAAGUUACUUCUAUAGAGGUGUGUUAAAACACAUUAAUAAUUUUAUUUUUUAUUAAAAAGUUCUUUUAUUAAAAUUAUUUAUAUUUAUUUAUGUUUAAAUUAGUAGUUUAAAAUAUUAUUAAUAUCUCAAAUUAAGUUGCACUGUUUAUUAAAAACAUUUCCACAUAAAUUUAUAUGUGGUAUAACCUGCUCAGUGUAUUAAUUAUAAAUAGCCGCAGUAUUUUGACUGUGCUAAGGUAGCAUAAUUGCUUGUCUCUUAAAUAGAGAAUUGUUUGAAUGGUUGUAGAUAAUUUAAAAUUGAUUAAUAAUAUAAAGAGUGAAUUUAGUUUAUGAGUAAAGAAUCUCAUAUUAUAAUAUAAGACGGAAAGACCCCGAGAACUAUGAAAUAUAUUUAAAUUAUUUGGGGCAAAUUUUAAUAUUUAUUAAAAUUAGGAACCUUUAAAGGAUUAAUGGAAAAGUUACCUCGGGGAUAACAGGGUAAGAAAUAAAAAGAGUACACAUCGAUUUAUUUAAUUGCUACCUCGAUUUUGACUUAAAUAAAGCAGCAAGGUGUAGCAGCUUUGAUAUGUAGGCCUGUUCGGCCUUUAAAAUUUUUCAUGAGUUGAGUUAAGACCGGCGUAAGCCAGGUUGGUUCUUAUCUAUAUUUUAUAACUUAUAGUACGAAAGGAUUUA
rnacentral:rRNA from 1 species